GGGUUGGUGGCGUAGUGGUAACGCACUCCCGCGGCAUCAGUCGUUCCGCGGGUGAGUCCUAGGUUCAAGUCCUGGCCAACUUG